AGGCAGCAGUGAGGAAUAUUGCGCAAUGGGGCAACCCUGACGCAGCAACGCCGCGUGGGUGACGAAGGCCUUCGGGUCGUAAAACCCUUUUCUGGGGGAAGAGAAGGGACGGUACCUCAGGAAUAAGUCCCGGCUAACUACGUGCCAGCAGCCGCGGUAAAACGUAGGGGGCAAGCGUUAUCCGGAUUUACUGGGCGUAAAGCGCGUGCAGGCGGCUUGGUAGGUUGGACGUGAAAGCUCCCGGCUCAACUGGGAGAGGCCGUUCAAUACCGCCAGGCUUGAGGGCGGAAGAGGGGAGUGGAAUUCCCGGUGUAGUGGUGGAAUGCGUAGAUAUCGGGAGGAACACCUGUGGCGAAGGCGGCUCCCUGGUCCGCAUCUGACGCUAAGACGCGAAAGCGUGGGGAGCGAACGGGAUUAGAUACCCCGGUAGUCCACGCUGUAAACGAUGGAUGCUAGGUGUGGGUGGUAUUGACCCCAUCCGUGCCGUAGCCAACGCGUUAAGCAUCCCGCCUGGGGACUACGGCCGCAAGGUUAAAACUCAAAUGAAUUGACGG
rnacentral:rRNA from 1 species